rnacentral:rRNA from 1 species
UACGGGGGGGGCAAGCGUUGUUCGGAAUUACUGGGCGUAAAGGGCUCGUAGGUGGCCAACUAAGUCAGACGUGAAAUCCCUCAGCUUAACUGGGGAACUGCGUCUGAUACUGGAUGGCUUGAGAUUGGGAGAGGGAUGCGGAAUUCCAGGUGUAGCGGUGAAAUGCGUAGAUAUCUGGAGGAACACCGGUGGCGAAGGCGGCAUCCUGGACCAACACUGACACUGAGGAGCGAAAGCGUAGGGAGCAAACAGG